CACGUAGGCGGCUCUUUAAGUCAGGGGUGAAAUCCUGGAGCUCAACUCCAGAACUGCCUUUGAUACUGAGGAGCUCGAGUCCGGGAGAGGUGAGUGGAACUGCGAGUGUAGAGGUGAAAUUCGUAGAUAUUCGCAAGAACACCAGUGGCGAAGGCGGCUCACUGGCCCGGUACUGACGCUGAGGUAGCGAAAAGGCGUGGGGAAGCAAACA
rnacentral:rRNA from 1 species